rnacentral:rRNA from 1 species
UACAGAGGGUGCGAGCGUUAAUCGGAAUUACUGGGCGUAAAGCGUGCGUAGACGGUAGCGUAAGUCAGAUGUGAAAGCCCCGGGCUCAACCUGGGAAUUGCAUUUGAGACUGCUCUGCUCGGGUGCGGAAGAGGGAAGCGGAAUUUCCGGUGUAGCGGUGAAAUGCGUAGAUAUCGGAAGGAACACCAGUGGCGAAAGCGGCGAUCUGGGUCGAUACUGACGCUGAGGUGCGAAAGCGUGGGGAGCAAACAGG